GAUGAACGCUAGCGGCAGGCUUAAUACAUGCAAGUCGAGGGGAAGCAAGAUUGUAGCAAUACAAUUGUUGACGACCGGCAAACGGGUGCGGAACACGUACACAACCUUCCUACAAGUGGGGAAUAGCCCAGAGAAGUUUGGAUUAAUACCCCGUAACAUAGCGAUGUGGCAUCACAUUGCUAUUAUAGCUUCGGCGCUUGUUGAUGGGUGUGCGGCUGAUUAGAUAGUUGGCGGAGUAACGGCCCACCAAGUCUACGAUCAGUAGCUGAUGUGAGGGCAUGAUCAGCCACACGGGCACUGAGACACGGGCCCGACUCCUACGGGAGGCAGCAGUAAGGAAUAUUGGACAAUGGACGCAAGUCUGAUCCAGCCAUGCCGCGUGAAGGAUUAAGGUCCUCUGGAUUGUAAACUUCUUUUAUAAGGGACGAAAAAAGGUCUUUCUAGAUCGUCUGACGGUACCUUAUGAAUAAGCACCGGCUAACUCCGUGCCAGCCGCCGCCGUAACAC
rnacentral:rRNA from 1 species